UGUCAUUUAGUUUUGUAUCCACUUUAGCUACAUGUGCGCUUUCUAACCACACAGGAGCGCAGUAUUCAGCGGCAGAAUAUACUAGGGCAAUGCCAGUGGUACGCAGGCAUUCGGCGGAUGCUCCCCAUGAUGUGCCACACAAUCUGUGCAGGAUGUUAUUUCGCGAAGCUAGCUUGAGUGAGAGUUUGGUGAGAUGCUCCUUGUACGUAAGUGAUCUAUCAAGGGUGACUCCGAGGUAUUUAGGGCAUUGGUUAUACCGUAGCUUUUCGCCGUUGAAAUACACCGUAGGUUGGUAGUUAGCCAUUUGGUUGCUCAGAUGGAAACAUGUUACCUCUGUCUUGCUCACGCUAGGAAUUAGUCGCCAAACCUUAAAAUAUUCCGCCAGCCUGCCCAGAUUCGCUGUAAGGGUUUUUUCCCCAGAAGUAAAGGAUUUGCUUUGUGCGACCAGUGCUAUAUCAUCUGCGUAGAUAAAUUUAUUAGCUUCCGUUGAUGGUAGGUCGUGGAUGUAAAGAUUAAAGAGCUUUGGUGCCAACACUGAUCCCUGUGGCAGACCAUUAUUCAGUUUCCGUCUUUUACUUCUGGAAUCGCCCAAGAAAACCUCAAAUUCCCGUUCACUUAACAUGCUGUUAAUGAGAUCCGCCAGCUCUCUGCUUGGAAUAGCGUUGAGCACCUUGCUCAUGAGGCCUUGUUUCCACACUGUGUCAUAAGCAGCUGUCAAGUCUAUAAAAACGGCUGUGGACUUGAGCGCUUUCUGGUAUCCAGCUUCGAUGUGAGUCGUAAGGGCUAAAACUUGAUCCGUGCAACUUCUUGCAGGUCGGAAUCCAGCUUGUUCAGGAGGGAAGAACACGUUCAAGGAGUUUCAGUGUGCAGCUAAGAAGUGCGAUUGGUCGAUAGCUCUCUGCUUGAUUUUCCGGUUUUCCCGGCUUCAGUACUGCGACCACCUUUGACAGUUUAAACUCUCGUGG